UACGUAGGGGGCAAGCGUUGUCCGGAAUCAUUGGGCGUAAAGAGCGCGUAGGCGGCCCAGUAAGUCCGCUCUGAAAGUCAGGGGCUCAACCCCUGAAUGCGGGUGGAUACUGCUGGGCUAGAGUCCGGAAGAGGCGAGUGGAAUUCCUGGUGUAGCGGUGAAAUGCGCAGAUAUCAGGAGGAACACCGAUGGCGAAGGCAGCGCGCUGGGACGGUACUGACGCUGAUGCUCGAAAGCUAGGGGAGCAAACAGG
rnacentral:rRNA from 1 species